rnacentral:rRNA from 1 species
UACAGAGGGUGCGAGCGUUGUCCGGAAUCACUGGGCGUAAAGGGCGCGUAGGCGGUCUGCUAAGCGUGCGGUGAAAGCCCGGGGCUCAACCCCGGGUCGGCCGUGCGAGCUGGUGGUCUGGAGCUUGUCAGAGGCAGGCGGAAUUCCGGGUGUAGCGGUGGAAUGCGUAGAGAUCCGGAAGAACACCGGUGGCGAAGGCGGCCUGCUGGGACAGUGCUGACGCUGAAGCGCGACAGCGUGGGGAGCAAACAGG